UGAGUGAAUAUUUGCCAAAAUCGAACUCGUUGGUCCGUGAGCAAGAGAGGGGGAGUGAGCAGCCGCGGCGAGCUUGCGACGGACUGAACUUUCGUCAUCCAUUUCUCUCGUCGCCUGUCUUUCGACGUCUUUCUUGUCUCCAGUUCCGUUGGUUUAGCACGCGAGGCGAGCCGUUGCCCAUCCCUUCUCUAGCGACAUGGGUGCAUUUCCUUAGUUUUUUUUUUUCUCUUGUUGCGUUCGGAAUUUGGAUUCUUAUUCAACCAACUAGAUGCCAGCGCCGGCGACGCAGAUCCGGUCUAUAGGUAUGCGACGCUCUUAGAUUUGUCUCGAGGAUGUGAUUCAUUGGAUGAUGCGGUUAUUCUUCCGUGAGUUUGCACAUAUAUGCGAUAUUUUGCAUGAGAUAUACCAAUAUUAAUCUGGACCUGGGUUUUCUAAGUCUUUUUUUUUUUUUAAAUUGCGACGCAGUAAAUUAGUGGAGGAGUGAACAAAAACAGAUCUUGGCCUUAUUUGAUUAGGGUUUCAUUACCCAGUAACGAGAACUUCCUGAGCACAUACAGCCUUUGAAAUGUUUCUUUGUUUAAUGGCACGAUUAUACGCACAGAUUAUCAAAGUCUCCAAGAACUAACCAGUUUAAUGGCGACCUAUGAUUCUAACACUGCUCAUAUUCAGCUGUAUGGUAUUUUGUAUAACCAAGAAUAUAGUGCGUCAUUAAUUAAUUUCUCAUUAGGACUUAUAACAAAUUACUUGUGAAAUUAGUUCACUAUCUACAAAGUCUAACGCCUGGAUGAAAUUUUCCAUGUCAGAGGAUCAAAUCCGCCAUGUUGACUAAAGAAAAAAAGGCAAACAGUUUAACAGAAUUAUGUAACAAUCUGAACCACUGGUCUUCCUUCGCACAUUCUUGAUGCAAUCUGCAUCAAAUUCAAAUUGAGAAAUAAAUGAGCAAACAAGAUAAACAUAGGUUAAAAGAAAUAGAUUGAGAACAAGGCAUCAUUAAUAUGAAUAUAAAAGAAUCAUUUUUUUUACAGUAUUUAGAGAUUAAGGUUUUUUUUUUUUUAACUCUGGUCUUUUCAUCAUUUAGGAGCAAAAGUCAUUCAUAGUUUGGUCGAUUGGUUUAGAAAUUUAUGCACUUUUAAGAGUUUCCUGUAGUUGAGAACAAAAGGUUCCCACUUUCUUUAUCCAUGAUUAGGAUCUACCUUUUGAAUCCGCUUUGCUUUUAUUCUAUGCAACAAAACAGUAAGAUAUUUCUCUUGUUUUGAACUUCACAGCUGGUGUAUUCUCAUAUCAAUCAUUUGUACUUUUUAAGAAAAAAAUUUCAUCCCUUUAGAAUGCUUAUUUUGGACCUUGAUUUAAAGGUUUCCUUAUUUGCACCACUUCAUAGAUGAACGUAUCAGUACUUGACAAGUUCACCACCUGAAGAUCUAGAAAAGAAACUUGCACUUGGGUUUGGCUUGAUUGAGUUAUCAUAGUUGUGCUUUCAAUAAACAUAAAACAUAAUAUUCUGCCAAGGAAACUAAAAGUCUUGAUAUCAAUUUUAGCAACUUAGUUUUACAUUACCCUAGGCAAUUGCAUGGAAUGUCCUUGAAGAUGUUACAGACCAGGUAACAAGAUAUGCAUCUGUGAAGUUGGAACCAAAAUAGAUACUUUGUGGAAUGGUCUAUCGAUAAUAGUAAUAAUUAAAGGUUUAAAAUAGCAUGCAAUUAACUUGUUCCAUCAUUGUAUUCUGUUGAUGCUUCUGUUUAAUGUACUCCAGAAUUUCAACUCUUUCUUCUUGUUUCAUCUUGUUAGUCACAGGGUCUGGAAAUAGAGAUGAACAUUCAUUUUAUCCUUUUGAUUUAUCAUUAGUGCAUGCACAUCUUUUGGGAACUUCAUACUAGCAUAAUACAAAAAAUAACAGCUAUCCAAUUUUGAUACCAUAGCAUUCAUCUAUUUAGUACCACUAUGUUGAUUUCUCACAAUCUAUGGGUUCACAAGGUUUAGAUAUUGAACAGAAAGGUAUGUUCUAUUUCUGCAUUGAGUUAUACAACUUUGUUUAACAAAUAUGGCUCGAAGUCUUGCAAUUCUUAACUAUUGAUUGUUGAGACUUAAUCAUUUGUUUUAAAUUCUUUCAUUAUUUUUUAAUUUUUUUGUGUGUCUGACUUUAAAUUAACAUUCCACGGUUGGACUUAAAUUACUUGGAAGUAGAUGCUUUACACAUGAGGUUAUGUUUUGUGUUUCUUGUCAUCCCUGCACAUCAGAAAUUGCAAGGAGCAAUGUGAGAGAACUGGCAUAAUUGGUGACCAUACAAUUGAACAAUGCCUAUAUUCCAGCAAUGAUAUAUCCCUCAAUAGUUCAUGGUAUAUACAAGAGCCACUUUAUUUGCAGUGGAAGCAGCUGAACUGCAGGAGUGACUGUCGGUUUACUGUAUGGUGCAGAGAGAAAACGAACGAGAAGAACUUGGCUUAAGUCCUCACAAGUACCAUGGAAAAUGACCUUUCAAACAUGUAUCUGUUUUCCAGAGAUAUUUGACCAGACAGAAAAGUUGGAUUAUUCAUCUGCAGUCACAGUACUCGGAUAUUCACUUAUUUUGUGUUUGCCGAGGGUGUUCAAUGUGAAGGAUGAGGCUUCAAGAGUCAUGUUUGCUGCCCCAAUUUUAGCCUUUUGUGAUAACUUAUAUUUUGUACCUCAACUUCUAUGAAAUGGAUUAUGUGUACUCCAAAUUCAACAGUCUUGCGCAUUCAUGCACAGUCCAGGCGCAAAUGCAUGCAGAGCAUAGACAUAUCUUUCUCCCCAGUGUCUGAUCUCUUUCUAUUUCAUCAUGGUGGAACAUGAAAGUGUGCCUUGUGGUGGUGGGCAUUUCUCAGCUUCUGAUAUGGGCAGUCAGGGGUGGUAUAACUCGUCACCCCUCAUGAUUCAGGCUGUGGGUGGCUGUAUUCGGAUGUGCUCUCACAGUGCUUCUGGAGCCCUCCGUUUCAUGGAUAUGUUGAUGCCCAUGCUUUGUGGCAUGCCUCCACUAUUCCUUUCACAUCUUUGGUGGAGCUUUGUCAAGAAUGAUGCUAAGUUCAGGACAUCAACUCUUGCCAAGAAGGCUAAGUGAUUUGUUCCAGUUCUCACCUUCAUUGAAGGUCUUUGAAACCCUGGAGGUAGCAGGGUGCUCCUUAACUCAUCAUCUUGUGAGCUAACUGAUGGAGUCCCACGGUUUGCCACAGGUCCCUAUAUUGACUCAUUUCCAUGUUAAUGACUGGAUCUAUUUCUUCCAGAUAGAUUCUCGUGAUUGAAUUGAUGCACCUUUUUGGCAGACAUGCUUCUUUACUUUAUGUCUAUGGAUUCAUUGUCUUGUAGAAAUUUAGUUCAUUUGUUAUCCAGUUGAAAUUACUCAAGUAUGA